GGGAUUGCCUCAGUAACGGCGAGUGAAGCGGCAACAGCUCAAAUUUGAAAUCUGGCCCUUUCGGGGUCCGAGUUGUAAUUUGUAGAGAGUGUUUCGGGCGAGACCACGUUCUAAGUCCAUUGGAACAUGGCGUCAUAGAGGGUGAGAAUCCCGUAUGCGACCGUGGCUCGAGCCCAUGUGAAGCCUCUUCGACGAGUCGAGUUGUUUGGGAAUGCAGCUCAAAAUGGGUGGUAAAUUUCAUCUAAAGCUAAAUACUGGCUGGAGACCGAUAGCGCACAAGUAGAGUGAUCGAAAGAUGAAAAGCACUUUGGAAAGAGAGUUAAACAGUACGUGAAAUUGUUGAAAGGGAAGCGCUUGCAACCAGACCUGUCCGUAGGUGAUCAGCCGCUGUUCUCAGCGGUGCACUCGCUCUGCGAUCAGGCUAGCAUCGGUUUCGGCGACCGGAUAAAGGCCUUGGGAAUGUAGCUUCCUUUCGAGGGAGUCUUAUAGCCUUCGGUGCAAUGCGGCCAGCCGGGACCGAGGACCGCGCUUCGGCUAGGAUGCUGGCGUAAUGGUUGUAA
rnacentral:rRNA from 1 species